AAGCCAACAGAGAGUGCCUAGACCCCCUGACUGCAAAUUAAAUUUGCUGCCGUUUCGGUGCAUCUAUAUUUCUAGGCUAAAAUCUCCAUGUUGUAGCAUGAACUACUCCAGAGGACGUUUAAAAUACCAUGCCAGGUGUUUCUACGUCUGUCUGUCCCAAUUGGAGGCUGCAGUCAGAAACCUUUACAGCUGUGUAGUUGAGAUCUAAAUGGAGGCUGAGUUUGAAGAUGGGUGGGGUCCAAGCCUUUCUCCUGCUGUCAGAAAACACACCGUCGUCUCCACCAGUGUAAAGUCAGACCCAACAGGACUCUACUGUUUCCUCUGGAACCUUUCAGAAUAAAAUGUAGUGACCUAAAGUGAUGUGUGGAGGAGGAUACACAUGACAGAAAGGACGCAUAAGAGAACAGACCCUGCUGAACCUGGACCUGAACCUGAACCUGAACCCAGUUGUGUCCAUGGAGACACUGCUACUUAAAAAAAAGACCUGUAAGGCGACUUGAAAUGGAGGAGAGGCUACUUGAAAUGGAGGAGAGAGGAUUGAUGGAGAGACAUGAAUGGCAGAAGGAGAGAAUAGCAAUGGAAAGGGAAAUUGAAAUGUUAAGAAGAAGAUUGAGGACCCAUCCAAAACCAGAGUCUCCUGAACCUGAACCUGAACCUGGACUUGGACCUGGACCUGGACCUGAACCUGAACCUGAACCUGAAUCUGAAUCUGAAUCUGAACCUGGUCCUGGACCUGGACCUGAACCUGAACCUG